rnacentral:rRNA from 1 species
GACGAACGCUGGCGGCGUGCUUAACACAUGCAAGUCGAACGGAGUGGCGAACGGGUGAGUAUUACGUGAGUAACCUGCCCUCAACUGUGGGAUAAGCCUGGGAAACUGGGUCUAAUACUGCAUAGUUGGGGAUGGGCUCGCGGCCUAUCGGGUUGUUGGUGGGGUGAUGGCCUACCAAGGCGGUGACGGGUAGCCGGCCUGAGAGGGUGGUCGGCCACAGUGGGAGGGAGAUACGGCUCAGACGCCGACGAGAGGCAGCAGUGGGGGAGAGGGCGCAAUGGGGACAAGGCUGAUGCGGGGGCGCCGCGUGGGGGAUGAAGGCGUUCGGGUUGUAAACCUCUUUCGGUGGAGAAAGGGUAUGUGCAGAAGAAGCGCCGGCUAACUACGUGCCAGCAGCCGCGGUAAUAC